UGCAGUCACAAUGAUGGAUUUCAGGCUGCACUGGGGGCUAUGUCAGAAUCUCAGGGAGCCCAGAGUCUCCUGUGAUGCCAGGACAGCCCCUCGGUAGCUUGCGACUGGAGCUGUUUUACGAUGGAGACAUGGAGGAAACUGCUAGCAGCUUCUCUUAGAAACUUACUUCCGUGGGUGGCUCUAAUGCAAAACCAGAACAGACACCUCCCUCUCAUUCCUUUCAAUGACAUGUACAAGAAGGCUUAAAAAUGAAGGUAGUUUCAUUAACCUUUACUGACUUCAUUCAUGCAAGACUAUCUGCAGCCAUCUGUAUUUCUUGAGCUCUCAUCCUAUGA